rnacentral:misc_RNA from 1 species
AAGUCGUAACAAGGUUUCCGUAGGUGAACCUGCGGAAGGAUCAUUUCUGAACUAAGGAGAGAUUGGAAAAAGAGGAAAGUGGCUUUACUGCUGCAAUCUUAUUUUUACUUUCUUUCCUUAUCAAAGAGAGUGUGUGGUAUAAAUGAAAAGGAAAAUUUGAAAAUGGAAAUUGAAUGGGGUUCAAAAAAAAAGCAAAUUUGUUGUAAAAAACUUAUUUACUCUUUUUUUCUCGUUUUAUUUCCAACUUUCGUUUCCCUAAUCUACUUUUAUAAACCAAAACAAGUUACUUUUUGUUCAAAACAAAAACGUCUUUGGCUUCUUUAUUUUGAUUAAUUUUAAACAUUUUACAUGUUUUUUAUUAUGAAAAAAGAGAGUUGACAAAAACAACAAAAAACGACAUACAACUGUCAACGGUGGAUCUCUUGGCUCGU